AGUGAACGCUGGCGGUAGGCCUAACACAUGCAAGUCGAACGGCAGCACAGUAAGAGCUUGCUCUUACGGGUGGCGAGUGGCGGACGGGUGAGGAAUACAUCGGAAUCUACUUUUUCGUGGGGGAUAACGUAGGGAAACUUACGCUCAUACAGCAUACGACCUACGGGUGAAAGCAGGGGAUCUUCGGACCUUGCGCGAUUGAAUGAGCCGAUGUCGGAUUAGCUAGUUGGCGGGGUAAAGGCCCACCAAGGCGACGAUCCGUAGCUGGUCUGAGAGGAUGAUCAGCCACACUGGAACUGAGACACGGACCAGACUCCUAAGGGAGGCAGCAGUGGGGAAUAUUGGACAAUGGGCGCAAGCCUGAUCCAGCCAUACCGCGUGGGUGAAGGAGGCCUUCGGGUUGGAAAGCCCUUUUGUUGGGAAAGAAAAGCAGCAGGUUAAUACCCCGCUGUUCUGACGGUACCCAAAGAAGAAGCACCGGCUAACUUCGUG
rnacentral:rRNA from 1 species